GACAGAGGUGGCGAGCGUUGUUCGGAAUCACUGGGUUUAAAGAGCACGUAGGCGGCUGGGCGUGUCCGGUGUGAAAGCCCCCGGCUCAACCGGGGAACUGCGCCGGAAACUACCCGGCUCGAGGGCAGGAGAGGAGAGUGGAACUCCAGGUGUAGCGGUGAAAUGCGUAGAUAUCUGGAGGAACGCCGGAGGCGAAAGCGACUCUCUGGACUGUCCCUGACGCUGUGGUGCGAAAGCCAGGGGAGCGAAC
rnacentral:rRNA from 1 species